AGGAGGAGGAGUGGUUCUCCCUCAUCCACUCACACUGGCUGCUAAAUGCUUCCUGAUCCACGAGUUUGUCCUAAAAACAAACUGUUCUCAGCUCGGACCUUCAGAUGAAUUCUACUCAUUUUAACAGCGAAGGAGCUUGUGACCGAGCAGCAGAGAUCAGCUGCUCACAGACGUACUGCUCAUACAGACACUCAAACACCCGUGUUGACCCUCACCUCGACUGAUUAGCCAAGGGCCGAAGAUCGCUCAGGUAUGAAUUGAAUCAUCUCUUCCAACAUGCUGUUGAUGUUGUGCCAGUACACAGAUAUACUUUAGACCAACUCAUGAUCACUGCUCUCUUUUGUCUUUCUUUAUUGCCUUUUGUCUGUCUGGUUGUGGUUAAAUGUCAUUUUAAUCCGUAAUUCCCCUCUCUCUCUCUCUCUCUCUCUCUCUCUCUCUCUCUCUCUCUCUCUUCACCUCCCACAAUGUGUGUGAAUCCGAUUCUGUGAUUGUUAGUAGCUUUAAUUACAUGCAAGAGUGCUUCACUCUGUGAACUGUGCCACUGUUUCCCCCUGCAGGAUCUGGCAGCUUGUUUAUGUAUGGAUAUGCCUUUUAUUGUUCUGGAUGACACACAAACGAUAAGUGAGCAGCCAGUGAUCUGCUCUCAGCUGCGGCUCAAUCGGACCUGCAAACCGAGCAGAGCCGGGACAAGAGGCUAACGAAACAGAGACUUAGUACAUUUUGUGUCGCUUGGAUCCGCAUUACAGCGCUGCUGGACCACAGCACGUUCCAUGACCGCACCGCUAUCCCCCUUCUCAGCCUCACAGCUAAUUGUUUCUGGUCUCCCCACUUUAUUUCCCUUGACUGCAGGACAGUGACCAGAAGAUUAGUGAGCAACGAGCUUGGCCUCGUGCUCUGCAGACGGCAGCGCAAAGCACACACUUGUUUGUUUUGGUAUGUGGAUAAGAGUGUGUGUGUGUGAGAGAGAGAGAGAGAGAGAGAGAACGUUUUGAGUGAGCUCUAGAGGCUUAUCAAUCUUCAGCACUUGGUAUCACAUCAGAGUCAUUAAAGCCUCUGUUUUUUCCAGGAAAAAUGAAAAAAAGACAUGCAGACAGGCUGAGUAUGGUGCUGCUGAGGUUGGCUUGGGGUCAAAAGAGUAAUGCUGGACCAAGUUAUGUAGUUCUCUCUCCUGAAUCUCUAAACGAUGACUCAGAUGUGCUAUUAGUAAGAUGGAUACACAAACCCAACAGGGGUACAUGAGUUUGGUUUGAUCUGCAGCACAACUGAACUCGGCAGGACGCCUCGUCAUCCUCAGUCACGACAUCAGGAAGCUGCAGAGGCAGCUGAGGUACAGGCUGACGGUGGGAAGCGUAAAGAGGGAGAGAGAGCGGCAUAGACGGUCAGAGGGGGAUAGAUACAAAAACAUCUUCUGAUAUGGAACUUACACUAAAUCUGGCAUGAGUGUUUUUGGCUCUAGGACCGGGCCUGUGGAGGAGGAUGUGAAGAGGGUGGGCUGGAGUGAGAGCGGGAGAGACGAGAGGGAGGUGUGGAGGCAAGUCUGGGUCUGAGUGGAAACUUGAAUGGAGUGGAAACUGGGCUGGAGGCCACUCAGCAGAUCCACCUUCACCCUGCCAGAGCAAUCAGCUAUCAGGAGUUUAGAGAAGGAACCAUUUGCCCCCUAAGUAAAUUCAUGAGGGGUUUGUAGGGAUUUGGCCCAAGCUUCUCCAGCUCUAAUGUGGGGAUAUUUUGGUAAGUGAAGUCCUCUUGUUUUCUGGAGAGGGUGCCAGAGCCUGUCUGCCUUUUUUAAUGGGAUCACAGCGGACACCCCAGGAACCACCGCCAGGUGAAGUGAUUCCGCUCUCUAUUUCCAGCUGUGUAAACACACGCACGCACACGCUCUGCUCCCCCACCCACACACACACACAAACACACACAUACAUAGACACAUGUGCUAUCACUUCUAAUAAAACGCGCGCUGGCUCACAUUGAGGGAAAUGCUCACUUUCCCUUUCUCUCUCAAAUAAAAACAAAGCUCAUUUUUCUGCUUUUGAGAAAAUUCUUGGCCUUGUUAAAAACAAUGAGUUGCUUGAAAGAUGUAAACAAAUUUAACAAGAGCUGGUGUUGUCUUUUCUCAGGCUGGGAACGUUCAAAAGAACAUAGAACUGUCCCUCCUCUCACCCUCUCCGCUGCCUUGAAUCGCAUUUCCUCAUAAAUCCUUUAGUUAGCCUUUUCUGCCAACGUUAAUUUUCUGUGCAACUUUUAUCACUUCUCCACCACCAACAUUUGGUCAAUCUGAAACCUUAUUAGACCUCAUUGUAGUGACAUAUCACCCAUUUCUUUGGGUAAAUUACUGCUGAAAACGUUUUAUACCGACAACGUGUACAGUUACAAAGCUAUUUGGAAUUUGGGGUUUGGUCAUUUAAGGACGUAGGUUUACUAAGCUAACAUGGUCUAUAGGGUGAGUUUGUGCAAAGAGGCGGGGAAGAAACCGUCUUAGUGGCCACGCGGUAGUCGUACUGUUAAAGGCAUUUGGACUUUAAUGCUCCAUUGUUUAUAUAACCAAGAGAAAGUGGAGACUCCCUGAUGGCCCUUUUGAAUAGCAGAUGCCGGAGAUUUUUGCCUCUGCAUUUUAUGGCGUAUUUGCUACCAAGGAGAUUCUGAGAUUUCUUAUGGGACAAAAUCUUUCCUCACUUUGCACGUGUCAGGCAGAAGCUGACUAUGAGGAGGAAUGUCGCUGCUCUUGUCAUCUACAGUUCAUUCUCGGUUCUCUGCACAUAAACUAUCAUUUGUAUCGUCCACUUAAAUAACUUUUAUCCUUAAACUAGAGAUGUCCUGAUCCCCUUGUUCCCUUCCCUACUGAUUGCAAUACCUGGACUUUGCAUAUCGGCCGAUUACUGGUAAGAUAUCAAAGAAUAAAAAAUGACAACGUAUAUUACAUAUUUUGCUAGCUAUAUGCUACUAUCCCUGUAUGUAAGUGAUUAUUACUAUCAUUGUUGUAUGGACUAUUUCUAGUUUUGUGAUUGGCAAAACUAGAGCGUCUCCAUUUUACUUGUGGGACUUUACGGCCUGACAUAUUACCAAACUGCUAACAUUUUAGGUAGCUCUGGCUAAUGCUAGGCUACCAGAAGUCACUUCUUCGCUGCUCUAAAAACAGUAGCCUACUUGUAGUAAGUGCAACUGCUUUUUUGAUGAAGAAGUGAUUUCCGAGAAAUAAAAACUGCACAAUUAAUUUAUUUACUUUUAACACGUAUCUCAUCCAAACAUCAAUUCACUUACCCGCUGAUGGCCCAACACGGCAUUUCCGGUAGUGACGGAGGCCUUUUCGAUGCUGGUAUCAAAACAACUCCACCUUUAAUCAAGUGUCUUUGAUACAUACAAUGAGAAUCACUUCAAGAAUAUCUGCUCCACCUAUGAAACUCAUCAGCCUUACAGUAAAGUUAGUCCAGUUUAUCUGAACACAUGGUUUUAGUUGAUGCCAGAUGUGGGAUAGGAACCGUGAUGUUACGGUCACUGUGAUGGUAUGCAGUCAACAAGCAGGAAAAAGGUAAUAUUUAUGUACAAUUUGUAUAUGAAAGACAGAUUCACAACAUAGAUUUAAUAUGGUAAUUCAUCAAGGCGGUUCACAUUAAAGUUCCUGCCUAAUUUCCCAGGCCUGGUGAUGAUUGCACUGUAUCAAUUCUCAGCUGUUUUCACUUGAAGACUGUCCUCUCUGCAGAGACGCCCCUUCUUAACAAGUCAUUUUGUUUCCCACUGAGCCUUAAGGGUCUUAUUGUUCACUAAAAAAGAUAAAACAUGCAGCCAUUUGGUUGAGAUAAUUCAUUUACUAAGGCAGAUCGCUGCUCUAGUAUCAAUGGAUCACCUAAGGCACAAAAACACGAGUCGGACACUCGACGGCACAGUUUUUCUCUGAGUCACCAUCCUGGUCUCUAGAGCGGAACGGCAAUCAUCCUGAGCUCAGAGGAGCCGUAGUGUUGACAGAACUUUCAUAACCGGCUCGUGUUAUAUAAGGCCUGUGUCACAGAUCUCGCUCAGUGUGUGAGGAAUAUUUCUGUGCGUCUUGUGCGCAGCCGUGGGUUCGCUUACAGCUGGAAGGUGUGAUGUUUUUAAUUAUAACUAACCAGCCCUGCCUGUCAGCUAGAGGAGGAGGGUCCAACCCAAAGCGUCAAUGUGACAGUAUCUCAUGCCAGAAGAGACAAACUGGUCCUAAUAAGACCACGAUGGCCCCAAAGUGAAUUUUUUCCAUGCUGCCUGGUGUGUUGAGAUGUAACACUACCCCUGUGGUGUUGAGGUUGGUUCUCUGCAGAUAGAGUAUCAUUCUAUUAAUGGUAAGACUGACAUUUUUGCAUUUGUAGAAGGUUUUAUCCUGAAUCCUGAGUUCCCAGAAGACGAGCUGUAAUUUUCGCCAUCACAUCUAAUCUUGUGGCCCCUGGAAUAGUGAGUUUAUAGUGAAUAUGUCUGCAGAACACACAUUAACAUGAAUAUAUGUGUUUUUCUUCAAUGAAAAGCGCUGUUAAAAUGCUAUAAAACAAAGAAAACACAUGUAAACUAUUCUAAACUUAUAACCAGCUUAAAAUCUUUCCACAACCUAUUCUGCACAGUGUUAUUUCCCCACAUCUAUUUGUAUUUUUCUUGUGGGUUUUGUACCGACCUGCUGAACUUAAUCGGGGCUGUGCAUUUUGAGACAACUUGCCAAUUCCUGCCCUCCUGGCCUGCAUUAGUUUGUGUGUUAGCUCAGAGCUCAGCCUUAUUGAAAGAGUCUGGACCACAGCCUCAUCUGUUUGCUCAGCUGGAUGACUCAGGCCUCCCCUGGGGAUCAUCGAGCUGUCCCCCUGCAUGUGCCACCAAGUCUCCAAACACUCAUUACUGCUGCGGGUUCUGCUCGGCCCACAUACAAGAAUUGAUGAUGAAGGUUAAACUGGAUAUGUCAUGCAUGAACACAUAUUUAUGGUUAUGGGUUGGUGCCACACGAAACAUGUUUGUUAAUGUGAAUAGACUAGUGCUCUCACUGGGUGGCUCUUCUGUGUCGCGACGACCAAAAACUGGCACAUGUCAGAUUAGUGGUUGUGUUUACUUAUAGUCUUUGAUUCUUUAACUGCUUGUUCUUUUGUUAAUGAAUGUGCGUACAUCAGCGAAAUUCAUCACAUCCGAUCUGCACCAAAUUGCACAAACUCAUAAAAAUAAUUCCCAUUAAUGUUCCUAAUUGUUUAUCAUCAAGAUCCGUGAA